CAAUAGCGUAUAUUUAAGUUGUUGCAGUUAAAAAGCUCGUAGUUGGAUUUCUGCUGAUCGCUGUCGGUCUGCCGUCAGGUGUGUACUGGCAGUGUUUGGCAUCUAUUCGAGAUUGGGUGUCCACUUGAUUGUGUGCACUCGAUGUCGGAGCUAAUACUUUGAGAAAAUUAGAGUGUUCCACGCAGGCGCGUGCCUUGAAUACUGCAGCAUGGGAUAUUGGAAGGCCGAUUGAGUUUUCUUGUUGGUUCUCGGUUUGAUCGGAAUGAUUAAUAGGGAUAGUUGGGGGCAUUCGUAUUCAACUGUCAGAGGUGAAAUUCUUGGAUUUGUUGAAGACGGACUACUGCGAAAGCAUCUGCCAUGGAUGUUCUCAUUG
rnacentral:rRNA from 1 species